rnacentral:rRNA from 1 species
UACGUAGGGUGCAAGCGUUGUUCGGAAUCACUGGGCGUAAAGGGCGCGUAGGUGGGCGGCCAAGUCGUUUGUGAAAUCCCCGGGCUUAACCUGGGACGUGCAAGCGAAACUGGUCGUCUUGAGUUCUUGAGAGGAUGGCGGAAUUCCAGGUGUAGAAGUGAAAUUCGUAGAUAUCUGGAAGAACGCCGGAGGCGAAGGCGGCUAUCUGGCAAGACACUGACACUGAAGCGCGAAGGCGUGGGGAGCAAGCAGG